rnacentral:misc_RNA from 1 species
GUUUUACACUCUUUACGUCAAUGGCGAUUUCUCUCAAUUCUGGUCUUACUGUGGCAGUUAGCAGAAGUAUUCGUCAAACCCCACUUCACAAUGUUAAUUUGACAACAAACCCGUUUAGUUUCAACUGCAAUUUCAGCUUAACCCCCAAUUUUCUAGCCAUUUCUGCCUCCCACAGGUCCUCCUCUGUUAUCUACAGCUCCAGAGAAACUGAGACUCCAGUGGUGAGUGAGGACACCAUCAAUGUGUUGGACGAUGUUCAAGUAUUUGAUCUGAAUGGACAAGGAGUACCUAUUUCGGAUUUGUGGAAAGAUAGGAAGGCAGUUGUUGCCUUUGCUCGUCAUUUUGGAUGCGUCCUUUGUCGCAUAAGAGCUGAUUAUCUUGCAGCUGAGAAGGAUAAGAUGGAUGCAGCAGGAGUCGCACUUGUUUUGAUUGGACCUGGUAGUGUUGAUCAGGCCAGAAAAUUCUACGAGCAAACAAAGUUUAAAGGAGAGGUUUAUGCUGAUCCAAGCUAUAGGUCUUAUGAGGCUCUGAGAUUUGUGUCUGGCAUUACAACCACAUUUACUCCCGGGGCGGGUCUGAAAAUAAUACAGGCAUACAUGGAAGGCUAUAGACAAGAUUGGGAGCUUUCUUUCGAAAAGGACACCAGGACACGAGGUGGCUGGCGACAAGGAGGAAUUAUUGUUGCAGGUCCUGGUAAAAAUAACAUUACAUACAUUCACAAGGACAAAGAAGCAGGUGAUGAUCCAGAUAUAAAAGAAAUCUUGAAUGCUUGCUGUGUACAAGGCUAAAUUUAAUCAAUACAGUCUAUAUAUUAUGUGUAUAUACAGACAAUUUGAAGAGAUACGUAUCUCGAUAGACACAAACUAGUACAUGAACAAUCCACACUUUUGGUUCAAAUAAGCAAUACUAGAGUUA